CCUACGGGCGGCAGCAGUGAGGAAUAUUGGUCAAUGGGCGAGAGCCUGAACCAGCCAAGUCGCGUGAAGGAUGACGGCCCUACGGGUUGUAAACUUCUUUUGUCAGGGAGCAAUUGGGUCCACGCGUGGGCUUAGCGAGAGUACCUGAAGAAAAAGCAUCGGCUAACUCCGUGCCAGCAGCCGCGGUAAUACGGGGGGUGCAAGCGUUGUCCGGAAUCAUUGGGCGUAAAGGGUUCGUAGGCGGCAAGGUAAGUCUGAUGUUAAAGCCCGGGGCUCAACUCCGGUUCGGCAUUGGAUACUAUCUAGCUAGAAUGUGGUAGAGGUAAAGGGAAUUCCUGGUGUAGCGGUGAAAUGCGUAGAUAUCAGGAGGAACAUCGGUGGCGAAAGGGCUUUACUGGACCAUUAUUGACGCUGAGGAACGAAAGCCAGGGGAGCAAAUGGGAUUAGAUACCCCAGUAGUC
rnacentral:rRNA from 1 species